rnacentral:pre_miRNA from 1 species
GCUUAUGGAUGAGCAAAAAAAGUAAUUUCCUGAGAUGGAAUCUGCUCCUGGUGAAGACGCUGUGAA